CGUGUAGGCGGAUAGUUAAGUCGGAUGUAAAAGUCCAUGGCUCAACCAUGGUUUGUCAUCUGAAACUGGCUAUCUUGAGUUCGAGAGAGGAUAGUGGAAUUCCAGGAGUAGCGGUGAAAUGCGUAGAUAUCUGGAAGAACACCUGAUGCGAAGGCGGCUAUCUGGCUCGCAACUGACGCUGAGGCGCGAAAGCGUGGGGAGCAAACAGGAUUAGAUACCCUGGUAGUCC
rnacentral:rRNA from 1 species